rnacentral:rRNA from 1 species
UGUCUGGCUGAUGUGAUCCCGGAUGAGAUCAAACACCUCUUGUUGCCUGGCCGUUAACGCUUUCAUUCCGCCCCCUGGGUGUAUAUACAGUCAUGCUGUGAGUAUAUACAGUUAAAGGUGAUUUUGGGAUGACCUGUGGCUGGGGGUGAAAGGCCAAUCAAACCGGGAGAUAGCUGGUUCUCCCCGAAAGCUAUUUAGGUAGCGCCUCGUGAAUUCAUCUCCGGGGGUAGAGCACUGUUUCGGCUAGGGGGCC